CUCGUAGGCGGCCAACUAAGUCAUACGUGAAAUCCCUCAGCUUAACUGGGGAACUGCGUGUGAUACUGGAUGGCUUGAAUCCGGGAGAGGGAUGCAGAAUUCCAGGUGUAGCGGUGAAAUGCGUAGAUAUCUGGAGGAAUACCGGUGGCGAAGGCGGCAUCCUGGACCGGCAUUGACGCUGAGGAGCGAAAGCCAGGGGAGCAAAC
rnacentral:rRNA from 1 species